AUGCAGCUAACUAACUGCAUAGUAUAAAAGUACGUUCCUCUCUGUUACAAAUUAUUCGGUAUUUACAAACAAGCAGUAUUCAUUACAAAGUUAACAUUGUGGAACUACAGUACAUAAACAAGCACCAUCGUCAAAUUACUGUAGUUGCACUUAUUUCCGGUACGGGAGGAAAUAGUAGAGAUAGUUACUUUUUUGAGACUUUUUUGUUUCCCCGUCGUCACAAUUUGGAGAGUUCCGGUUAAAAUGUCACGCCUGUUCAGUCCUUUUGGCGUAAGACAACCACUCUUCAAAAUUUAGGUUCGUAUUUCCGGUGAAGAAGGUCAAAUGCACAUGAAAGCAUGAAGCUAGUUGGAUAUGUAUACUUCGCCGCCCGAAGAGGGAUGCGCCAAGCGGGACCAACCAGUAUCGGAACUGUCUUUCAGAUCGCCUUUGCUGCUAGUCUGGCUGCUUGGGCAGUUGUGGUGAUUGCAGACCCCGUAGGCAAAGCCAAAG